CAACAGGGAUUGCCUUAGUAACUGCGAGUGAAGCGGCAAAAGCUCAAAUUUGAAAUCUGACGUUUUUGACGUUCGAAUUGUAAUUUGGAGGGAUAUCUUCGGAGCUGGCGCUGUUCUAAGUUCUUUGGAACCAGACAUCAAAGAGGGUGAGAAUCCCGUGCCUGAACGGCUGUCCCGCUCCAUGUGAAGUGUCUCCGACGAGUCGAUUGUUUGGGAAUGCAGCUCAAAAUGGGUGGUAAAUUUCAUCUAAAGCUAAAUAUUGGCGAGAGACCGAUAGCGCACAAGUAGAGUGAUCGAAAGAUGAAAAGCACUUUGAAAAGAGAGUUAACAGUACGUGAAAUUGUUGAAAGGGAAGCGCUUGAGACUAGAUUCGACCGGCGGUCAUCAGCUGCGUUUUUACGUGGUGCACUUGCCGUCGGUUGAGCCAGCAUCGGUUUCGAUGGCAGGAUAAAGGUUUCAGGAAUGUGGCUCCUCAUUUUCGAGGAGUGUUAUAACCUGGAGCGCAAUGCUCCUGUUGGGACCNAGGACCNCGCUUUUGCUAGGAUGCUGGCUUNAAGGUCU
rnacentral:rRNA from 1 species